ACCGACCCCUACCAAAGUUGACUUAAAAUGGUGCCAAGAUAGUUGGUGAAACAACCAAAGAUUUAUUCAGCCAAAACUGAGUAUCAAGCUAUACUAAAGCUACCCAGUAGUGAACUACUUACCACUGAAGCAGGUUUAGUAAAUGUAUCUGAAAGAUUGGAUGGGAAAUUGAUCGCAUCAGCAGAUAUACCAGCAGUAUUUGCGUCUCUCAAACUUCUUUCGAUAGGCUUCUCUCCUAAUAUCUGACCGCGGCUUUCUGCGGUCAUCUUCUGCACAUUCCGAAACAUUUUUGCAUCCACCUGUUGUUUGCCUUGAUCAUUACGUUAAUAGGCUUCUCUCCUAAUAUCCGACCGCGGCUUUCCGCGGUCAUCUUCUGUGCAUUCCGAGACAUUUUUGCAUCCACCUGUUGUUUUCCUUGAUCAUUACGUUUCUGUCUCUCCUCCCAAAG
rnacentral:lncRNA from 1 species